rnacentral:lncRNA from 1 species
CUUUGCCCAGGGGCAUCCAGGAUGGCUUAUAAUCCGGAACUCACCAUGCCAGCCAUUUUGCAGAAAGGACGGUUUGGAAGUUUUCUGCAAGGUGACCUGAGCCCUGGAGGGAUCCCACCGGAGACCCACUGCCUGCAGAGCGAAAGGCCCCCAGCAUCGAUGGCUGAGAUGGCGCCUGCAGUUCAAGCGCCUGAGGCGGUCAGCGAGGAUCCAGACAGCACCGAGGUGUUCUACACGGUGGAGAGGGACGAAAGCGGAGAAGUCGUCUGCCUCUGCUCUGACAUGGGGGAGGCCUACAACAAAAUUGGUGGGUCCCCCUUGCGGGUCAGCGACCUGAGGGCGCAUCCGGGCAGACACGGUGCCCU